UAGAAGUUUUAUUCUUGCUUAUUUAUUCAUUUUUUUCUUUGUAUUAUAUGCAAGUUUUUUUAGACUAAAAGUUCUUUUUGCAGUGAUUUAAUUUAAUUAUCAAGUGAUUUUGGAAUUAGCAAUUGAUUUAGUAUUGGCAUAUUUCGUGCCAGCAGCCGCGGUUAUACGAUUAAUGCAAGUGAAUAUAUUUGGUUAAAACAGUUAUUUUAUGAUUUUAGGAUUAAUUUAUAAAUUUUUAAGGUGGAAUUUUAAUUUUAUUUGUGAUUCUUAUUAUGAUUCUGUGAAACUUAGAUAAUAAACUAGGAUUAGAUACCCUAUUAUUUUAAGUGUUAAUCAUGUUUACCAGGGUAGUAUUAGUUAGGAUCUUAAAACUCAAAGAAUUUGGCGGUAUUUCAUUCCAUUUAGAGGAACCUACCCCGUAAUUGAUAAUACACGAUUAACUAUACUUAAUUUAUUUGUUUGUAUAUCUCCGUUAUCAGAAAAUCUUUAUUGGAGUUAUAAUUUUCUUGAUUUAUAAUUAUAAAAUAUUUCAGGUCAAGGUGCAGCUUAUAUUAAGAGGAGGUGGGUUACAAUAAAUUUAGUUAUACGUAUUUAAUGGUGAAAGACUAUUAAUAAAGGUGGAUUUAAUAGUAAUUUGAUUUAUUUAAUUCAAUUGAUUUUGGCUCUGAGGUGUGUACACAUCGCCCGUCACUCUCAUUAUUGAUUAAUCUAUUUUAAUUUAAAGUUAGUUUCAGUUUAGAUGAGAUAAGUCGUAACAUAGUAGAUGUACUGGAAAGUGUAUCUAGAAAGUUUAC
rnacentral:ncRNA from 1 species